rnacentral:lncRNA from 1 species
GUAACCAUAGCUAGUUUUACUCCUCCUUAUCACCCUGGUUUCAUCAACAGAGGUGUCACUGACUAUCUCCUGGUAAAACAAAUUACCUUGUUUGAACUGUUUGGGCUGAAAUAGAUCUACAACGAGUCGCUAUCGGUUCUAUUUACUAAACAAUUAAGUGGCAAUACUUGAAUAGUGGGAAGAAGAACAGCUUCUUCCAGCAAACCGUUUCAUCGCUUAGGUCUUUUAAUAGUUUUGUACAUAAACAGAUCUGGUUCAUUUGCUUUCAGAGCUGAAAAACGUUGAACUUCCUUCUGGGUCGGUGAAGUAAAAUUCAAGGAGCGUUUCAUCACCUUGAGUUUCUGGUUCAGAAGGUCGCUUCUGUGUUGUCAUUGACCUCAGCGUACAGAAGAGGUGACCUGGGGCUGUGAUAGCUGCCCUCCCUGCUGCUGGAAGUAAGGAAGCUCUCUGAAGGUGUAGCUCUCUCACGGUGCUGAUUGACUUCCACUCUCCCAAACCAGUCAGGAAGCCCCAUCCCAUGGCUGCAUACCACGUUCAUAGCUUCCUUGCCCAGAUGCAUCCCAG